rnacentral:rRNA from 1 species
AUGAUUCCCACUGGCGUCAUCCUAUGCUGGAGGAAUUUGAUGCUCUUGUUGCUAACCGGACGUGGUCACUUGUUCCACGACCUCAUCAUGCUCAUGUUGUUUCAGGGAAAUAGAUCUUCAAGCACAAUUUUCACUCUGACGGCAGCCAUGCUCGUUACAAGGCUCGUUGGGUGGUCCGUGGGUAUUCUCAGCAGCCCGGCAUCGACUUCCAUGAGACAUUCAGCCCGGUUCUCAACCUGGCCGUGA